UACGAGGGGGGCGAGCGUUGUUCGGAAUUAUUGGGCGUAAAGCGUCCGCAGGUGGACAUACAAGUCUGCUGUCAAAGUGCAGAGCUUAACUCUGUAAAGGCGGUGGAAACUGUAGGUCUUGAGUAUGGUAGGGGUAGAGGGAAUUCCCGGUGUAGCGGUGAAAUGCGUAGAUAUCGGGAAGAACACCAGUGGCGAAAGCGCUCUACUGGGCCAUAACUGACACUGAGGGACGAAAGCUAGGGGAGCGAAAGGG
rnacentral:rRNA from 1 species